UAUACGGAAAUUCGGUUUUUUUACCCGUCCGCCAAAGUAAUCGGAAUGGUUAACGCGAUAUUUGCAUACUUCAGUGGUAGUGUUGAAAUUGCAAAAUACUCAAAAAUUAUAAAAUACCCAAUCUAAUAUUUUUCAACAGUGGCGUCUUUAGCAAAUGUUAUAAAAAAUGCGAGUUUUGACAGCUCUCUCGAAUCAAAGAGUGUCGUAUCAACCCAGCGGGAUAAUGGUUCACCGCUUAUAUUUUUCUUUGAAGAAUGCUUUGAAGAAAAUUCUAUGUAGAAUUCUUCGAUACCAGUAAAGAAAUAAAAGAAUGUUCUCGAAAAGGCACGUGAGAAGACUAAUUAAAAAUGAAGAAAGUGAAUUUUACGGAAUGGCUGAAAACACAAAUGUUGAAACUGAUUCUUAAGAGGAAAGCACUUUAAUGCGUUACUAUUUGAAUGUGUGAAAGUAGAAGGCUUUACCGAAUCGGACUAUGCUCACCAAAUGCAAAAAAGCAUUAGACUCGCCAAAGGCCGUUUUUUAAAAGUCUCGUUGCUUGCAAAAAACGAAAAGAGACUCAGCCACAAAAUUAAAAGAAAAC